GAGGGUAUAGCUCAGUGGUAGAGCGCAUAUGCCUAGUGUGCACGAGGUCCUGGAUUCAAUCCCCAGUACCUCCA
rnacentral:tRNA from 1 species